ensembl:lncRNA
CUGCGAUUCUACUCUGUCUGUUACUUUCUCCAAACGGGCAUUUCAGAUCUCUCUGGUCUAAAGUGUGACUUCCACAGGUCCGGAACCGCCUUGACUGUUAUUUGAGAAUUGUUGGAGGCAAGAUAUAGAUAACCACCCCUGGUUGACCAUAUUUCUACCUCUGCCCAGUGAGCGCUUCCUGCCCAGGACCAGCUGGCUUGUGAGUGGAUUGGAAUGGACAAUAGAAUGUAAAGCCCACAUUCACUUUACCUUCAGUUGGACAUUUAUUACAAACUAGCACUUCAAUAUGGACACCUGACUCUUCACUUGGAUUUUCUGGAUGUUUUGAAGAUGGAGACCUAGCUCGAUCCCAGAUCUUUUAUGCAGUCGGUGUGACAAUGACCACACGGAUUUGCUAAGAUGGCACCAACGGAUAUGGGAUCAGGCUAAUGGAAACCCACUGUACCCACAUUCAGCUGGUCGUCUACCUGCCAUUCCGAGAGGUGCAGCUGGAGUUGGUGGAGCCAGCUAAGUGCAAGUAUGUUCUCCAGACCCUGAGACCCCCACAGCAGGCCCGCUGUGUGCUGGACUAGAGAGAGAGAGGCGUCGGGAUGUGGCACCGUGGCACUAGUCCAGGAUCAGAGGGCCGUUCAGAGUUUCAACUACCCACAAUCCUACAGCAACAACUCUGACUACCACUGGGUCAUCUAUGCCCCCCAGGAUCAUGUUGUCAAGGUGACACAUGUUGACCUAUACCUCUUAUGCAGAGGGGGCUUUAAUAUUUUGUGUAUUGUCCUGUGCAAGGCCAUUGUGACCGAAGGGAUACCCCAGAUCUCUGAUUGCUCCCAGUGGAAUCAUGAAUACGGUCUCUGGUGUGGAUGGGAUCAGUUUACCUGUACUGGAAAGAAUGUGUUACUCAGUUUGAUGCAACCAUAACAACAAUAAUAACAGCAACAGACUGCAAUAGUGUUGCUGCACAUGUCACAUUUUUUUGGCUGAAAUUACAAUGAUUUAAGAGUUUACAGCUCAGUGCAAGGAUGAUGUUGUAUUCCUUUGUUAUUUUAUUCUCUUAUCUUGCGGCGUGACUUCGAUGACUUUGACUUGGAGCAGUCAGAUGACUGCAGUCUGAUUCGCUGAUUUGUACUUCGGAGAUGUGGACGCAAAUAAAACAUUUUUUUGUCACAUACACAAGGUUAGAAAAUGUCAAUGCGAGUGUGGUGAAAUGCUUGUGCUUCUAUUUCCGACAGUACAAUAAUAUCUAACAAGUAAUUUAACAAUUCCCUAAGAACUACCUAAUACACACAAAUCUUAAGGGAUGGAAUAAGAAUAUGUAAGUAUAUGGAUGAGCGAUGGGCGAGUGGCAUAGGCAAGGUGCAGUAGAUGGUAUAAAAUACAGUAAAUACAUGUGAUAUGAGUUAUGUAAACAUGAUUAAAGUGUCAUUAUUUAGAGUGUAUUGUAUAAAGUGACUAGUGAUCCAUUUAUUAAAGUGGCCAGUGAUUGGGUCUCAAUGUAGGCAGCAGCCUUGGCGUUAGUGAUUUGCUGUUAGGCAGUCUGAUGGCCUUGAGAGAGAAGCUGUAUGUAUGCCGAGGAACUUACAACUUUCCACCUUCUCCACUACUGUCCCUUCGAUGUGGAUAAGGGGGGUACUCCCUCUGCUGAUUCCUGAAGUCCACGAUCAUCUCCUUUUGUUGACGUUGAGUGAAAGGUUAUUUUCCUGACACCACACUUCGAGUGCCC